GGCUUUGUGGUGCAAUGGAUAGUGUGUUGAACUUCUAGAGGGUGAAAAGAUGCAAAGGUUCCAGGUUCAAGUCCUGGCAGAAUCA
rnacentral:tRNA from 1 species